AACACAUGCAAGUCGAGGGGUAACGGCAGUAGCUUGCUACUAGACGACGACCGGCGCACGGGUGAGUAACGCGUAUGUAAUCUGCCUUGUACAGAGGGAUAGCCCAGAGAAAUUUGGAUUAAUACCUCAUAGUAUUACUGAAUCGCAUGAUUUGGUAAUUAAAGCUCCGGCGGUACAAGAUGAACAUGCGUGACAUUAGCUAGUUGGUAAGGUAACGGCUUACCAAGGCCACGAUGUCUAGGGGUUCUGAGAGGAUGAUCCCCCACACUGGUACUGAGACACGGACCAGACUCCUACGGGAGGCAGCAGUGAGGAAUAUUGGUCAAUGGACGCAAGUCUGAACCAGCCAUCCCGCGUGAAGGAUGACUGCCCUAUGGGUUGUAAACUUCUUUUAUAUGCAAAUAAACCUGCUUUCGUGAAAGUAGCUGAAGGUAGCAUAUGAAUAAACACCGGCUAACUCCGUGCCACCAGCCGCGGUAAUACGG
rnacentral:rRNA from 1 species